AAGAUUCAUGAAUGGUAGAAUGGGGGCUUUUCGUUUUCGUCACAAGGGCAAUGUCAAAGCGGAUUACAUGAAGAAGGCGGCUACUACUGCUUUAAUUCAUGUUUUCUAUAUAUUAUUCGCGCGUGUCUUCCAAAGGUCCUGACCUGUUACGGCCAGACUAGAGUGGUGACCUGAUUUAAAAAGCAGCAGCCUGUGGCCAAUUGGGGGGGUCCCUCAGUUUCAAGCCAAGCCCACAGGAAGGAGCUUGUGUGAGGGAUAUAUGCAGAGAAUGCAAGUCUUUGGAGAUCUGGGCCUGUGUGGGAAGAAGGGGUAGGCCCUUUCUGGUCCCCUGCUGAUACAGAAGGGAAAGCCGAGCUCUUGGUGAGAUGGUGACCCUCGACCCUUCUUCAGAGAACUGACAGGAGCGGCCCUGAACUCUCACCCAUGGGACAAACUAGCGAUGAAGCGUGACCUGUUGCUGGGGGCGUGGACCUGCCAUUCAGGCAACAAGCAUUCUGGUCAUUCCACGCGCCAUUCCCCUUGCAUAGCAGACUUCCCCCUCCCAUGAGAACCCACACCAGUACCCCAUUAUCCAAAACACACAAACACAAAAAAACAUCACAAAGUUCCCAUUACUCACCAUCAGUGCAAGACACAAUAACCUUGAUAGAGCCUUAAUCGAGAAAAAAAGCAAGAAAGGAGAAAUAAACAUAUGAAAUUGGUACCAGAAA